CCUACGGGUGGCAGCAGUGGGGAAUAUUGGGCAAUGGGCGCAAGCCUGACCCAGCAACGCCGCGUGAAGGAAGAAGGCUCUCGGGUUGUAAACUUCUUUUAUCAGGGACGAAGCAAGUGACGGUACCUGAUGAAUAAGCCACGGCUAACUAUGUGCCAGCAGCCGCGGUAAUACGGAGGUGGCAAGCGUUAUCCGGAUUUACUGGGUGUAAAGGGCGUGUAGGCGGGAAAGCAAGUCAGCGGUGAAAACCAUGGGCUCAACCUGUGGACUGCAUUUGAAACUGGUUGUCUUGAGUACUGGAGAGGCAGACGGAAUUCCUGGUGUAGCGGUGAAAUGCGUAGAUAGUAGGAGGAACACCGAUGGCGAAGGCAGUCUGCUGGACAGCAACUGACGCUGAGGCGCGAAAGCGUGGGGAGCAAACAGGAUUAGAUACCCCAGUAGUC
rnacentral:rRNA from 1 species